rnacentral:rRNA from 1 species
GUUCAAAGCAGGCAGAUCCAAUUUUCUGCCACCGAAUACAUUAGCAUGGGAUAAUGGAAUAGGACCCUGUCCUCCUAUUUUCAGUUGGUUUUGGCAGCGCGAGGACUAGGGUAAUGAUUAAUAGGGAUAGUUGGGGGCAUUAAUAUUUAAUUGUCAGAGGUGAAAUUCUUGGAUUUAUGAAAGAUUAACUUCUGCGAAAGCAUCUGCCAAGGAUGUUUUCAUUAAUCAAGAACGAAAGUUAGGGGAUCGAAGACGAUCAGAUACCGUCGUAGUCUUAACCAUAAACGAUGCCGACCAGCGAUUAGGAGACGUUGAAUACAAAACACCACCAUCGGUGCGGUCGUCCUUGGCGUCGGUCUUUCGGGGCCGGCGCGGGGACGGCUUAGCCCGGUGGCAC